rnacentral:rRNA from 2 species
UACGUAGGGGGCAAGCGUUAUCCGGAUUUACUGGGUGUAAAGGGAGCGCAGGCGGUGCGGCAAGUCAGAUGUGAAAACCCGGGGCUCAACCCCGGGACUGCAUUUGAAACUGUCGGACUAGAGUGCCGGAGAGGUAAGUGGAAUUCCUAGUGUAGCGGUGAAAUGCGUAGAUAUUAGGAGGAACACCAGUGGCGAAGGCGGCUUACUGGACGGUAACUGACGCUGAGGCUCGAAAGCGUGGGGAGCAAACAGG